AACGCACCUUGCGCUCCUUGGUAUUCCUCGGAGCAUGCCUGUUUGAGUAUCAUGAAAUUCUCAAAAUAAAUCUUUUGUUAAUUCAAUUGGUUUCAUUUUGGGCUUGGAGGUCUGCAGAUUCACGUCUGCUCCUCUUAAAUUCAUUAGCUGGAUCUCGGAGAGGUCGGUUCCACUCGGCGUGAUAAGUAUCACUCGCUGAGGACACUGUAAAAGGUGGCCGGGCUCACUGCAGAACCGCUUCUAAUAGUCUAUUCGAUUAGACAAUUUAUUUAUGAUCUGAUCUCAAAUCAGGUAGGACUACCCGCUGAACUUAA
rnacentral:misc_RNA from 1 species